GGUCCAACAACAAUUAAAAAAAUAAAAAGGACUGGGGAUAUACUUCAGUGGUAGAGCACCCCUGAGUUCAAUUCUCAGUACAAAAGAAAAAAAAGGUGGAAACAUUAAACUUUAUGUCAUGGAUAUGUUACCACACACCCACACAAAAUGCUCCACAAUAAUAGUGCAAAGGCCCUUCUAUUGCGAUGAGUUGCAUGAACUUACCAUGAAUGCAGUCAUGUGAACCUUGGGCAUGUAUUACCCCACCUGCGCAGUUCUAUAGGACAAAGGCCAGCUGCUUCCUCUGUGCAGGCUUUUCCUUCCAUUCCACGCUAUCUGUCCUAAGAGUACCUCCUAAUAAAUCUACAUGCUAAACUUAAACGUUUCUCUCUUAAAACUUAGCUCAGUGGGGCUGGGAAUGUAGCUCAGUAGUAGAGUGCCUGCCUCUCUACAUGCAUGAGGCCCUGGGUUCAAUCCCCAGCAAUGCAAAAAAAAAUAAUAAAAUAAAAACUUUAAUUUUCUUCCUAUUCCAGGACUGGUCUAGGGAACUGAAGGAAUUCUUUAACCCCUCCUCUGAGGUUUGGGAAUGAUAAGUAGAACCUCAAGACAAAGUGCUUCCUACCGGGCCCUCUGCUCCAUUGAAUUUUGCUAAAACUUGGUCUCUGUCCCCUCCUUUCCCUGCUGUCAGGCCAUUCAGGUCAGCCCCUCCCUUGCCCCACCCAGACCCAGAACUCCAUCUUCCCUUCCCACAAGGCCUCUCAGAUAAGCUGCCGCGGAGAAACUGGCUGUGGUGAUAACAAUUCAUGGUCCUGUCACCUGCUCUUGAGCUGUAACCCCCAAAGCAGGCUGGAGAGGUCCCUGAGUUGAAGCUCUUACCAAACCCAGGACCUGAAGAAGUUCAUCUCACGGAACAACCAAUGGCCCAGAGAUGAGUGUUGGGGAGACGGAAAGGCUUUCUUCAGCGGCCAGAGAAUGGAGAAGAGGGAGCUUUGCUCACAAAUGGAGGGGUUGCAGAUAUAGAAU
rnacentral:lncRNA from 1 species